CUUAAUCAGAUCACUGUUGUUUGCUAUUUAUUCAUGAAUUUCACGUUUGAAUAAGAGAUAGAAUAACUAUCGUAUGGUUUACGUUUUCGGUAUUGCCAAGGUAGCCUACAUCAAAUAUGAUGUAGGCCUACCGUAUUAUUUUAAGAGUGAUAAAUUGUGAUGGAUCCAUAUCUUUUAUUGUAUUGUUUUAACGCAAGCGUAGCUGUUGUGAUGGUCUGUCCCUGCUCGGUGUUUGGCACGUGGCCCAACUGGGUGGAGCGUAGCUUAGCCACUGUGUUGCUUUGCGUUGUUUUCUCCACCGCACGCCAGUGCUUAUGCAGCGAUAGCAGAAGAAGGACCUCAUGUGCAGAGGAGACGCCGAUGCAAAUUGGGGAAUUACUCCGGGACAUCCCUUGAAUUGACUUGACAUUCGUCCCGCAUUGGACACUGGAUUUUGUGUUCUGAUAACCCAAAGCACCCGUUUCAUUUGCCGCACCGUUUGCAGGGGGGGGCUGCAGAACCUGCUGGGGAUCGCUGCUGCUGCUGUCACCGAGUCGCGGGAAGACAAGGACGUUCCACCUAUUCACUUGUGAUCACCGCACAGGGCUGUUUUGUGAAGCACCUCCGUGAUACCAACACACACACUCUCACCUGGAAGUGUCCGUGGAUCGUCAAAUGUUGUGCCGUGGCCCAAUGGACUUGAGCGUGCGAGGAGAAUGCUAAUGAACGUCGCGCUGCGUCCUGCCGACGCGCGCUAUCCUCCAGUGCUGCUGAGGGGCGACAGCAGAGGUCAUUCCCUUCUAUCCCUCGUCUUAUUUUCUUCAUCUUGGUCUGCUUUCACCCACAGAGGUAUUUCCAUGGCAGCCAGUGUGUGUGUGUGUGUGUGUGUGUGUGUGUGUGUGUGUGUGUGUGUGUGUGUGUGUGUGUGUGUGUGUGUGUGUGUGUGUGUGUGUGUGUGUGUGUGUUUGUAUAUGAAUGUAUGUAUGUAUGUAAGGUAUUCUGGGUGCGCACAAUGUGUCCACACGCAUCACAUUCAGUCAACAAUACUAUACUGAACAGAUUCUAGGGCUAUAGCGUUUAAUGACAACAACAACAACGUUUUAAUGAGUGUUUUCAGCACUGUUUAUUGGGUGCCGAAGGGCUUUUAUUUUUUAGAAUAAUUAAGAUGUGGAUUGUAUGCCUAGUUUUAAGAGCUUGUGGGUGAAAAUGAUAGUCACUUGGUGAGUCUGUGUGGGGCUGAAUGUUUAGAUGGGGUAAGGGGAGUUUGAGGGGUAGUUGGUGUGCAGCUAGUGUUGUAGGGUAUGGGAACUGUGUGUGUGUGUGUGUGUGUGUGUGUGUGUGUGUGUGUGUGUG
rnacentral:lncRNA from 1 species